UGUCAAACAACUCAGGGUCCCAGACUGCGCCGAAGCUUCAAGAGAACUCUCCUUUUCUGUGCAUGGAUGAGUGGCCGACUCUGGAGCCCAGGCUGUUGCUUCCCAGUCUGGUGGUGAAUCCUCUAUAGUCUGGUUGAGUCCUUUUCAACUAGUUUUUGUGUUGUUUUUGAAACCUCAAGUCAUUGACUCCUUCAGCAGUGGUUUAAGAAACUAUCUUAAUUUUUUAAUCACACGUUGACCAUGCAGCCAAUUGUUGGCCUGUAGAGUGAACAAAACCAGAUCACAAGAUUGAGGGCUUGGAGCUGGAGAAAGGGAGAAUAAAAAGCAGACUGUGACUCUAUAGGGAAAUAACUGAAAGAUGAUACUAGGAAUUCUCAAAGUAAGAGGAAAAGGAAAGGCCCUUUUUCGGAAAUGACCUCUGAUAAACACACUCACCAAAUUUACACCUGCCACUGUGUCUUCCAUGGACAGACAAGCUCCACUUUAGCAGUCCUGGAUACCUAGAAACUCCCUUUAACAGAGAGUGGGGAAUCUCGUCAUCUUGCGUGGGAAUGGGAGCUUGAAGGGAGAACCUCAGCCUUCCAGAAGGUUAUAUAAAACCAGUUGAUAAUUUUCGUAAGAAUAGAGCAGUGGACAAACAAUUGCUGUUGUAAUCCAAAUACAUGAGUCUACCUACAUAAUGGAGAAAUGCUAACUUACAAAAAGGUCAGGCUGGUGUUUGAAUGGUUUUAAUUUCCUUUUAUAAAAUUACAGGAAUUAUACAGUUACAUUGAUUAACUGUAAUCAGCUUUGAGUCUAGCUAAAAAAAAA